GUCACUCAGUCAACAUGUAUACUCCUUGACUGAGCAGUGUUUGAGUGGGCACCAAGCUUAGACAUGUGUGUAGGGAGGCAAUUAUAACUAGUUACAGCCAUCCUGCCUCUUCUGUCCUCCUCUCUUCCCCAGCCUUAGCCCCCCAGCCUCAUGGGGCCCAGAGUCCUCCUUCAGAUGAGGCCAGUGUCCCAGGCAACUACCUGACGUGGGAAAAGCUGCCGUCCUAGAGAUCAGAAAGAACCCACCAGUCAGGAACAGCAAUUCUGAUGAUGUCAGCUUCUAAGUUUUCAGAAGCGACAGCCUCUGGUGUUCUUACAGCAUCAGAAGAGCAGAAAAGCUGGCCACUUAUGAACCCACACAUUGUUACAGAGCAUCUCGGCUUUCUGCCAAGGAGCACCACUCAGGCUUUAAAGAUUUGUCCUUUGAUUUUACUUUUUAGGGCAUCUUGAGACAAUGUUCUGCCUACACAAAAUUCUAAACUGAGAGGAGUGGCUCAGAAGCUCUACUAACAUGGAAUCACAUGUGAUUCAAGAGAGUGCCAAAGGAAACAACAGGACAGAAGGAGACAUGAGGAAGAGAUGGGACAGACAGCACUCAACCCUGAGCAGACGUGAGGGGCAAAAGAAAAGGCAACAUUAAGGACCCAUUCAAGUUUCAAGUCUCAGCGUCCCAGAGGAUGCUGAAAUCUCUCAUCUAUGCUGACUCUACCUCCGAAUGCGUGACAGAACCAGCCAGGAAACAUUUCUCACAGAAAUAUGAAGCACUUGGAUUUGAAUUGUGUAAUUUCCCUUUAGAGGCCAUCCUUAAGAAUUGCGUGCCUUGCAUGUUGAAGAAUUUCUGUCUUUGGUUACCUGACAUCUGAAUAAAUGCUAACGAUCUCACCAGUCAGUCCACAGAGUCCACUGUUUAUGUGCUUCAGCCUGUAAUGGGAGACAUGCGGGAAAACACAAAAGAAGGAAAAGAGAGUACUCCUGCUUGCAAGAUGCUUUCCAUCUCAUCCAGCAGAGAACCUGGUCUAAGAGAGGUGUAAAGAAUGUGCCUAUUCUAUAAGGGAACAGAGGCCAGAAACCAGCAAGGCUGUGGACCUAACCAGCUGUAAAGGCAGAGAAGUUUUAAACAGAAAAGGCUGCUGGGCCUUGGCAUGUAUUUUGCAAUGGUUUGUGGUGUGAGGGAUGUUUGGAGCAAUUGUAAACAGGAACUGCUAUGUCCUUAUUAGGAAUAAUCACUUCUCCAGGCAAAGAAGUGGCUGUUGAGGCUUUUAAACACGUUUUGUGCUUAAGGUUUCCUCUCUCCCUCCUAGCCCAAGCCUAUUCUCCCCAUUCCUCCUGUAGGAACUCAUUGAAGCUGUACUGCGUGGUUGCUCUUUGUGAUUGCUGCUUGGCAGAACCCAAGAAAAGAAACAUCCAGGGACUCCAUCUGGCUGGAUUCACCUUGAUCCUAACUGCUCACAAGAGCUGUUUAUUCCCCCAACAC
rnacentral:lncRNA from 1 species